rnacentral:lncRNA from 1 species
ACGGACAGCGCUUGAGUCAAAGGCGCUCGUACAAACCAGACGCUCUCCGAAAUCACAAAAGUGCCUUUACUGCCUUCUGAGCCGGUGAUCGGUGGGGACGGUGUUCUAGUAUAAUCUGUUCACUCAGAGGACAAUCAUCUAGUUUCCUGAA